rnacentral:rRNA from 1 species
GACGAACGCUGGCGGCGUGCUUAACACAUGCAAGUCGAACGGAAAGGCCCUGCUUGCCGGGUACUCGAGUGGCGAACGGGUGAGUAACACGUGGGUGAUCUGCCCUGCACUUCGGGAUAAGCCUGGGAAACUGGGUCUAAUACCGGAUAGGAGCCAUUUUUAGUGUGAUGGUUGGAAAGUUUUUUCGGUGUAGGAUGAGCUCGCGGCCUAUCAGCUUGUUGGUGGGGUAAUGGCCUACCAAGGCGGCGACGGGUAGCCGGCCUGAGAGGGUGGACGGCCACAUUGGGACUGAGAUACGGCCCAGACGCCGACGGGAGGCAGCAGUGGGGAAGAUUGCACAAUGGGCGCAAGCCUGAUGCAGCGACGCCGCGUGGGGGAUGACGGACUUCGGGUUGUAAACGCCUUUCGCUAGGGACGAAGCUUUUUGUGACGGUACCUAGAUAAGAAGCACCGGCUAACUACGUG